AGGUAUAAAUAAGGGCAAGCGGUGGGAGGAGGGACUUCGGAGGGAGGCUUCGGAGCCGCGAGUAUCCAUCCGUCAAAGCGUUAAAGCGUCAAUCGACGAGGCGACGACGGUGCGUGUUCGUUCGUUCGCCGUAUAGUCCAACCUUUCGACCACCACGUGGCGCUGCCCCGGCUCACCGCCUCAUCGUCUCCUCGGUGAAAGAGCGGGCCGAACGUUGAUACCGGCGACGGCGGUAUGCAGCAGCCGCAGGAGGAGCAUUGUGGCCGCAGCCGUCGGCGUUUUAGCACGAGGGUCAGAGAAGACGCGAGGCUUCCGAGUUUCCGGCUCUCCCGGAGCGAAUCACUUUGCCGUUGCGCACCGCGGGUGACAAAAAUAAUUUUAAUAUAUUCUCGUUCGAACACGGUAGAGUGAAAAUCGGCACGCCGUUCCCGCGCGGAAUUUGUGAUUUGUUAUUGUUGUGUCCUGUUCCUCUUUCUUUUGUACAUACAUGUGGGCGAUAUUCGGCCGAUUAUGACGAGGAGGAGGCGCAGGAAAGGAGAAGCCGUUUGCGACGAACAAAGUUAUCAAAGUGUCGCGGAUCCAAACGAUAUGGGUGAACAGUGACGGAGAAUUAUUAUUCACGAGACAUUGUUCACGAAGAAAUAUAACAAUACGCGUAUGAAGUGCGUGUAACGUAGCGGUGAGAAUUAGAAGGAAAAAAAAACAAAAAAACAAAAAAAAACAGGAUACUUCGUCGCUUCCGUUUCGGCUCAAUGCCAACUUCGUGACUGAGAAUAUUGAACAGAAGAGCGGGCGAACCAUCAACAAAAAAAACACAUGUGAUUCCGUUCUUAGCCGAAGGCUCAUCGUCAGUUGACUUCAUUCGUUUCCUGCCGAUCGCAUACAUUCAAAACAAGGUACGUUCGUAUACUCAAGGACCAUCUUCAGAUGCCUUGAAAAAUUAUGUCUUCAGCCACUGCUGGUCUGCGGGGUGCCGUAGACCGUCUCGCAUCUCUUAACGAUAAAAGGGACAAACGAAGGGACGUCCGAGAGAAUUAGGCAUGUUUCGGACUUUACCCUGAAAAGAAUUCAUCCUAAUUGUUUGAUCCUCCGCUGUAUUUUCUAGCCACGUGUUUCUGCAGACACAAGGAUCUUCUUUUCAUCUCCUUGGAGACCCAUUAAGUCGGAGACAGGUUUAUGACACAAGUCUAGGGAAAGGCCUGUCGACCUAACUUUCAAGAACAUAACCCAGACUCGGAGCCCUUGCCUCAUUGUUGUUAAAAAAAAAAAAACAAUUCUAGGAAAACUGAAACCGGGCUGGCGCCUUUUUUCCGCACACUUGGGGAAAGAGUAAUAUCAUACGCAGCAUGUAUACAUGUAUUUUGUCGUCUCUUAAGCACCCGGUGUAAGAAUGUAUGUAAGGAAGGUUUACAUGUUGGAAUCUUACGCUUCUGAUGGGAAGGACGUAAGACGGUCAAGGACCGUCUAAUAAUUGAAAUGCGGAUAUGCAUUAUCAUUAGUUACG